rnacentral:lncRNA from 1 species
UGACAGAAAGCUCUUCCCCUGCUCUGCCCCCAAGACCCAUCCUCUCCCUGCGACAUCUGUGGAGAUUUCUCAAGGACAUGGCUCCAGGGGUGCAGUAACUUUAAAUUCCUCAAAUCCCCUGAGUGCAAGGCCAUGGCUCAGAAAAGCCUUGCAAACAACAGCAUUAAUCUCCCCUACAAGGACUUGACCUCCGAGGUAACCAGGCGCCGAGUCACCAUGAUCAGAAAAGAGAUAAUUACCCAGAAAAGUGAUGAAGCUAAGGAGAUGCUCUCCCACUUGGAUUUGGAACAAGCCCCUCCCCCUCACAGGACCUACCUCACAGUACCUCCCGCCCCACCUCCUUCUCCAGCUGAGGAUCCCACG